UACGUAGGUGGCAAGCGUUGUCCGGAUUUACUGGGCGUAAAGCGCGUGUAGGCGGCUUGGCAAGUUGAAUGUGAAAGCCCACGGCUCAACCGUGGAAGCGCAUCCAAAACUGCUUCGCUUGAGUCUCGGAGAGGAAGGUGGAAUGCUUGGUGUAGAGGUGAAAUUCGUAGAUAUCAAGCAGAACACCUGCGGCGAAGGCGGCCUUCUGGACGAUGACUGACGCUGAGACGCGAAAGCGUGGGGAGCAAACAGG
rnacentral:rRNA from 1 species